rnacentral:misc_RNA from 1 species
CCCGGCUUGCUGUUGGUGGCAGCGUAACUGGUCAACCGGUUACGCUCCACCCAAAGAUAAUGACGGCGUCUGCGAGGACUCCUGUACACUGAGCUUUCGGGCACGUACGUGGUUAGAAGUCCAGGCGCCGGUCGACGUCCUCCGGGACACUUUUUACCAAGGUUGACCUCGGAUCAGGUAGGGAUACCCGCUGAACUUAA